rnacentral:rRNA from 1 species
UACGUAGGGGGCGAGCGUUGUCCGAAGUUACUGGGCGUAAAGCGCGCGUAGGCGGCUUUUUAAGUCUGGGGUGAAAGGUUCUGCGCUUAACGUGAACAGUGCCCUGGAGACUGGAAGGCUUGAGUGUGGGAGGGGGCAGUGGAAUUCCUGGUGUAGCGGUGAAAUGCGUAGAGAUCGUGAGGAAGACCAGUGGCGAAGGCGGGUCUCUGGGCAGUAACUGACGCUGAGGAGCGAAAGCGUGGGGAGCGAACAGG